UACGGGGGAGCAAGCGUUGUUCGGAUUUACUGGGCGUAAAGGGCGCGUAGGCGGCCACCGCAAGUCGACUGUGAAAUCUCCGGGCUUAACCCGGAAAGGUCAGCCGAUACUGCGGGGCUAGAGUGCAGAAGGGGCAACUGGAAUUCUCGGUGUAGCGGUGAAAUGCGUAGAUAUCAGGAGGAACACCAAUAGCGAAGGCAGCUCGCUGGGACGUUACUGACACUGAGGCGCGAAAGCGUGGGGAGCAAACGGG
rnacentral:rRNA from 1 species